UGCGUUGGAGCUCGAGUAUUCUAGAUCGGUCCAUUUGAUCCUGGACGCUGCUGGAGAGCUGUGCUGCGCACCGUGCUCUCGAACAUUAUCUGAGGACAAGUCACCAAGUCAGUGGGUCAUCAUGACAGCUGCUACGCCCGCCAAGCCACCUCCACCAGAAAAGAAAAAGACAAAGCCCAAGCGUCGCAAGCGCAGCCA